rnacentral:lncRNA from 1 species
UAGCUUUGAUCUCCUGGGCUGAAGCGAUCCUCCCACCUCAACCUCCCAUGUAGCUGGGACUACAGGCGUGUGCCACCACUUCUGGCUAAUUUUUUUUUUUAGUUUUAGUAGAGAUGAAAUCUCGCUAUGUUUCCUAUGGUGGUCUUGAACUUCCGAGCUCAAGAGAUCCUCCUGCCUUGGUCUCCCAAAGUGCUGGGAUUACAGGCGUGAGCCACUGUGACUGGCCCUAGAUUUUAUUGAAGUAAAAUUCAUAUAACAUAAAAUUAACCCUUCCAAAACAUUUUUAUCAUACCAAAAAGGAAACUCAGAUUAUUAACCUCUCACUCCCCAUACCCCUCUCCCUGAGUUCCUGGCAACCACUAAUCUGCUGUCUGUGCCUGUGGAUUUACCUAUUUUGGAUGUUUCAUAAUGAAGGAAUCAUAGAACAUGUGACCUUUUGAGUCUGGCUUUUUGAACUUGGCAUGCAUGAUGGUUUUGCAAUUCCUCUAUUUUUUUUUUCUCAUGAUCCGCCUGCCUCGGCCUCCCAAAGUGCUGGGAUUACAGGCGGAUAAUUCUAUUUUUUUUGAGGAACUGCCAAAAUGUUUCCCAUGGUGGCUGCACCAUUCUUCAUUGCCACCAGCAGUGUAUGAGGUUUCCAGUUUCUCCACAUCCUUGCUAACACUUGUGAUUUUCUUUUUGAUUUUAGUUAUAUCAUACUAGUGGGUGGGAAGUGGUGUCUC